AUAUCUUAAUCUUUGAAUUACAGAACAAAAACCUGCAACGCGAUUCCAAAACCAACCCCAAGAAUAAUAUGUCAAUGUCCCAAAAGAAUAAUUUGCCACGAAAGUAAGGCAAAAAAAAUAAUUGAUAAAGUAACUCCAAAUUCACGAAAAUGCAUGAAGAUUAUAGAACAAUCAAUUUCUUGUAAAUGCAUUAAAAAAUCCAGUUCAGAAGACUUAAAAAAAUUGUGCAAAUGUUCGUCAACGUGCACAUUUCUUUCAAAAUAUAAUGACUGUUGCUGUAUAAGGGAAAAAGUAAUAUAUAUAUAUAUCGUUUAAAAUUACUCAUUAUUUUUUAUAAAAAUCAUAAUCAUUAUAUUAAAAUCAAGAAAAAAAUUCAUUCGCGACAAUAUAGCGAUAAUACGAUCUGAUAAAAUUCAAUUUUUAUUUUAGAUAAAAAAGAAAAAAAAAGAUUCGAUAGAUUAUUGCUAUUCUAAUAAUAAAGAAAAGCCGUUUAAAGGAACAUUAUGCCCAAAAUACCGUGAACAAAGUCCAAAGAAAAAUAUAUUUGUCAAAGGAUUCUCCAGGUUACGUAAUAAAAUACGAAAAUUUAGAACUCG